UUAAAAAUAGUUUAUUUUAAAAUAUUAAUUUUGGAGAUUAAAGAUAUUUAUAAAAUUUUUUAAA
rnacentral:tRNA from 1 species